UACGGAGGGUGCAAGCGUUAAUCGGAAUUACUGGGCGUAAAGCGUGCGCAGGCGGUUUGUUAAGUCCGUUGUGAAAGCCCCGAGCUCAACUUGGGAAUUGCAGUGGAUACUGGCAGGCUGGAGUACGGUAGAGGAAGGUGGAAUUCCCGGUGUAGCAGUGAAAUGCGUAGAUAUCGGGAGGAACACCAGUGGCGAAGGCGGCCUUCUGGACCGGUACUGACGCUCAUGCACGAAAGCGUGGGGAGCAAACAGG
rnacentral:rRNA from 1 species